GAGUUUGAUCCUGGUUCAGAACGAACGCUGGCGGCGUGCCUAACACAUGCAAGUCGAACGGGGAUAGAUAGCUUGCUAUUUAUUCUAGUGGCGCACGGGUGAGUAACGCGUAGAUAAUCUGCCUUGGACUCUGGGAUAACAUUUCGAAAGGGGUGCUAAUACCGGAUAAGCCCACGGGGACGUAAGUUCUUGCGGGAAAAGGGGGCCUCUGCAUAUGCUCUUGAUCCAAGAUGAGUCUGCGUACCAUUAGCUAGUUGGUAGGGUAAGAGCCUACCAAGGCGACGAUGGUUAGCUGGUCUGAGAGGAUGAUCAGCCACACUGGAACUGAGACACGGUCCAGACUCCUACGGGAGGCAGCAGUGGGGAAUUUUGCGCAAUGGGGGAAACCCUGACGCAGCAACGCCGCGUGAGUGAUGAAGGCUUUCGGGUCGUAAAGCUCUGUCUAGAGGGAAGAAAUGAUAUUGGGUUAAUACCCUGAUUUCUUGACGGUACCUCUGAAGGAAGCACCGGCUAACUCCGUGCCAGCAGCCGCGGUAAUACGGAGGGUGCAAGCGUUGUUCGGAAUUAUUGGGCGUAAAGCGCGUGUAGGCGGUUUGUUAAGUCUGAUGUGAAAGCCCCGGGCUCAACCUGGGAAGUGCAUUGGAAACUGUCAGACUUGAAUACGGGAGAGGGUAGUGGAAUUCCUAGUGUAGGAGUGAAAAUCCGUAGAUAUUAGGAGGAACACCGGUGGCGAAGGCGGCUACCUGGACCGAUAUUGACGC
rnacentral:rRNA from 1 species